rnacentral:lncRNA from 1 species
GCGGCCUCCCGGGGUCCAGAGCGGCCGGAAGCGUUCGCCAGGGUGAGUAAAGGACUCCAGGGCUGGAGCCCCCGCCUGGCUCUCCGCUCGGGAAUUUAGAUUCGAAAAGAGCUUCCGGAGGUCGCGUCUACGCACUUCUCCACCAGCACUCCCUAAUUCGGCCUCUGGAAACCUAAUAAAAUACAACUGCUUUGGAGUUAGAAGUGAUUUCGGGCCUGGAGCUGGCGUAGACGCGCCCCUCUGAUCCGGUUUGGACGCUUGCGGACACUCGCAGCCGGAGGUGUUCCGCUCGGAGUACGGGAGAGGGCGUGGAGCGCAGCGCGGAGGACAGUUACGCCUCGUUGGUGGAUAACGACGCCCGGGGUAUUUUCAGGAGUGUAUUAGUGCACUCCCGCAGGCAUUUGUUCAGGAGAAUGUUGUCUGCAUUUACCUAUUUAUGAACGCUGUGUUCACAUGUUUCAAUCUGAAAAUUUUUUAGCAAGACACGCUCCCCAGUCGCUAAAAAUGGCCCUAUUCCAAAGCAAAUCGCUGCAGACAAGCAACGGUUCCAUACUGGGGGGGAGGAUGGGGGGAUGUCCCCGCGAACUGCUGGACGGAGGAAGAUAACACGCCAGCGGCGCGAAGUCCGAGACGGGGGUCUGAUGGCGCCGCGGCCUUGCUCCGGGAGCCGCGACUGGCCUGUUCUCUAUUCCACAUCGCUCGUGCUGCCCUCCUUGCCUUCAUCCUGCGUCUCCCACUAGCUGGACCGAUCCAUCUGCCGACACGUUGGCCCAGUUCCAGGCGGCUCCGGGUCCGGGCGCUCUCACGAGCUGCCCCCCCCCAAACCCUCCAACCCCGGAAGCCCCAGACCCCAGGCAUCCUGAAGCCAGCGGCUCGGUUCGGGGGUUAAGGCCCAACGCCCCGCGGGUUUCCCUGAAAUAGCAAACUUCUGCCGGAAGGGGGCGCCCUUGCCUUUUUAAUAGUCCACAAACGCACAUUGGUAGCGAAAUAAAUCUCUAAAAUUCCAAA